UUGUUGAUUGUCUUGUUUUUAUUGUUUAUUGGUUAGUUUAGUUUUAAUUAAAGUAUUAUUAUGUUGUUGUAUUGGUUUGAUUUAAUUUUUUUACUAUAGGUUAUUUGUACUGUAAGGGGUUGUUGAGGCUUAAUGUUUUUUUAGAAGUUGAUUUUGUUUGUCGUACCUUGUGUAUCAGGGUUCAUUGAAUUUUAUUAUUUAUUUUUAUUUCCCGAUUUUAAAGGAGCUAAUGGCUUAUGUUAGUUACUGUUUCAUUAGUAUUAAUAAUAGGUGGUUAGUAGUGAAAUGUUAUUCGUCUUUAGUGGUUUCUGGUUUUUCAAGAAAUGAAUUUAAUUCAUACAUCUUAUUUAAUUUCUAUUGUUGGUUUAUUUGUUUUUAUUUGAUGUUAAGAUUGAGGGGGAUUAGCUCCUUGUUUUACUUUUAUAAUUGGUUGGAUUGUGAAUAUUAGUUUUGUGGAUUUUAUGGUGAUUUUCUAUUUGAUUAUGUUAAAAUUUUAUUUGUUCUUUUUUUUUAUUUUUUUGUUAUUUAAGUUAUUUAUUGAAAUGGUUUCUUUAUUUUUGGUUUGUAUGGUAAUUAUUGUGUAAUUAGUAAAUGUUAUUGAUUGUUNNNNNNNNNNNNNNNNNNNNCGAGACAUAAGCUGUCUUGGGAGUAUUGCUUAUUGAAUUUGGUUUUUGAGUUAAAAUUCUUAAAUGUUUUUAUGGGACGAGAAGACCCUAUAGAGUUUGACAUUUUUCUUAUUCGUUUGUUGUUUGUUUUACGUUUUAUUGAAUGGGGAUUUGUUUUGUUGGGGUGAUAGGAGGAAUACAUUUAACUCCUCUUUGUUUUUGUAUAUUUAUAUAUAUAUAUUUGAUCCAUUUAUUUUGAUUAUAAGAUUAAAUUACCUUAGGGAUAACAGCGUUAUCUCCCUUGAGAGUUCUUAUUGGCGGGGAGGUUUGCGACCUCGAUGUUGGAUUAAGGUGAAUUUUCGGUGCAGGAGCUGAAAGUGAUUAGGUCUGUUCGACCUUUAAAAUCUUACAUGAUCUGAGUUCAGACCGGCGUGAGCCAGGUUGGUUUCUAUCUAUAGAGUUGUUUUAUACCUUAGUACGAGAGGACCGGGUAUUUGAAAUAAUUUCAGUUAUUACAUUGGUUCUUGUUAAUGUGG
rnacentral:rRNA from 1 species